GAUGAACGCUGGCGGCGUGCCUAAUACAUGCAAGUCGAGCGAACGGACGAGAAGCUUGCUUCUCUGAUGUUAGCGGCGGACGGGUGAGUAACACGUGGAUAACCUACCUAUAAGACUGGGAUAACUUCGGGAAACCGGAGCUAAUACCGGAUAAUAUUUUGAACCGCAUGGUUCAAAAGUGAAAGACGGUCUUGCUGUCACUUAUAGAUGGAUCCGCGCUGCAUUAGCUAGUUGGUAAGGUAACGGCUUACCAAGGCAACGAUGCAUAGCCGACCUGAGAGGGUGAUCGGCCACACUGGAACUGAGACACGGUCCAGACUCCUACGGGAGGCAGCAGUAGGGACUCUUCCGCAAUGGGCGAAAGCCUGACGGAGCAACGCCGCGUGAGUGAUGAAGGUCUUCGGAUCGUAAAACUCUGUUAUUAGGGAAGAACAUAUGUGUAAGUAACUGUGCACAUCUUGACGGUACCUAAUCAGAAAGCCACGGCUAACUACGUG
rnacentral:rRNA from 1 species